rnacentral:rRNA from 1 species
UACGUAGGGGGCGAGCGUUGUCCGGAGUUACUGGGCGUAAAGGGCAUGCAGGCGGUCCGACACGUUUUGUGUGACAGCGGGUGGCUUAACUACCCGAGGAUACUAAAGACGGUUGGACUUGAGGACUCGAGAGGGACACGGAAUUCCGGGUGGAGUGGUGAAAUGCGUAGAGAUCCGGAGGAACACCGAAGGCGAAGGCAGUGUCCUGGCGAGUGACUGACGCUGAGGUGCGAAAGCCAGGGGAGCGAACGGG